GAUUCAUGUAUAGUUGAGAUAUCGGAUCUUCAAAAAUAAUAUCCUAAUAAAUUUGGAAUCGUGUCGUAACAAAUUACUAAUAUAGUAUAGCAACUCGGAAAUUUGCUGUAACGACGUGGCGCAUGAUAGAAUCGUUAGAACCUCAUGCACAUUGGGACGAAAUGGUUGAGUUGCCUCUACUAUUAGAAGUUUUGCUCAACUUGGAUUUAUCGGUUGCCAGGUUGGGUCGAGAGGUUUCAGCUCU
rnacentral:lncRNA from 1 species